AAAAUCACUGAAGCAAAUGACAAAACCUCAAGUUAUAUAUCUCUAUAACCAAAAGCCAAUAAAGAGACAAGUUCGAAUCUUCUUGUCCUGUAUAAGAGAUAAAGAUGGAAACUUUAAGCUAAUUUUAGUAACAUCAUGUAGGCCUAUCUUCAAGAACCAUCGAUCGAAUGAUACCCAGCUAAAUAUCUAACAUUUCCAAUUUUGUAUAGGUUUGUUUGAUCCAAAGACAAAGAAAUCUACAGAACUGCUUACAGCAGAGAACUCGAGGAGAGUGGAGUGUUCACGAACUGAGGCGACGGAGAUAGCAGGAUUACGGCGAGGAGGAGAGAGAAAGUCAAGACGACGACGAAUAGUGGCUUCACUGGAAACGAAACCAUUUGAUGUUGGAUCGGAGAAGACAAAAGGAGUUAGUAGUCAACCAUGAAGUUUAAAAUGUUGUCUCUAAAACUUGGAUUGAAGAAGUUACACACAAGUAGAUAAAGGAGAGAUAGAGGGAGUACAUGGUUAACACUAAUCAGCAAUCAACUUUCUAAGUUUUGAACAAAGCCCUCUCGCUUUUACAAGACACACUCAUGUUUUACAAGACUGUAAAUUUUCGUAUAGAAAUUGUAACACCUUAAUGAAAGGAGGUGUUCAUAUAUUAUGAGAACUUGAAUAACAGUAUCAUUAGCAUCUUAAUCUUUCUAUUAAAACUCAAAUCAAAUUUAACUUCCUCCAUAAGGGACAGCAUCAUUUGAGUAUGCAAGUCGUUUUAUUUGUUGUCUCUGUAACAAACAAAAAGAC